rnacentral:rRNA from 1 species
UACGUAGGGGGCUAGCGUUGUCCGGAUUUAUUGGGCGUAAAGAGCGUGUAGGCGGCCAGGUAGGUCUGCUGUGAAAACUCGAGGCUCAACCUCGAGACGUCGGCGGAAACCAUCUGGCUAGAGUCCGGAAGAGGAGAGUGGAAUUCCUGGUGUAGCGGUGAAAUGCGUAGAGAUCAGGAAGAACACCGGUGGCGAAAGCGUUCUGCUAGACCUGUACUGACACUGAGGGACGAAAGCUAGGGGAGCGAAUGGG